GGGUGUAUGGCCGAGUGGACAAAGGCGGCGGCCUGUAAAGCCGCUUGGAUUACCAUGCGCAAGUUCGAAUCUUGCUGCACCCA
rnacentral:tRNA from 1 species